UGGGGAAUAUUGCACAAUGGGCGCAAGCCUGAUGCAGCCAUGCCGCGUGUGUGAAGAAGGCCUUCGGGUUGUAAAGCACUUUCAGCGGGGAGGAAGGCGUUAAGGUUAAUAACCUUGGCGAUUGACGUUACCCGCAGAAGAAGCACCGGCUAACUCCGUGCCAGCAGCCGCGGUAAUACGGAGGGUGCAAGCGUUAAUCGGAAUUACUGGGCGUAAAGCGCACGCAGGCGGUCUGUCAAGUCGGAUGUGAAAUCCCCGGGCUCAACCUGGGAACUGCAUUCGGAACUGGCAGGCUAGAGUCUUGUAGAGGGGGGUAGAAUUCCAGGUGUAGCGGUGAAAUGCGUAGAGAUCUGGAGGAAUACCGGCGGCGAAGGCGGCCCCCUGGAAAAAGACUGACGCUCAGGUGCGAAAGCGUGGGGAGCAAACAGG
rnacentral:rRNA from 1 species